GCGGGGACUGGCUGGCUGCGGCGGGGGAAAUGGGGCCUUUCCCCGCUAGGGGGCGCUGGCUCCGAUCCGGGGCCGGGGCAGGGGGCUGGCUGGGGGGCUCCGGGCCCCUUUGGCUCAGCAGUUCGAUGGCCCUGGGGGUGAAUGGAGUUUGCUGCGUCUCAGCCCCCUCCCGGCCCCGUCCAGACCCUUCACUGGCAGCCCCAGCAAAGAGGCCGACGGAGGGGUGGGUCGAGGGGACCCAGUCCCGUCCCCCCCUGUCCCGGGGCAGGAGGGCCCGGGGGGCGGGGAUCCACCUUCUGCUGCCCUGGGGGAUCCUCAGAGUAGUUGGGACCGGGGCUCUUUGUACCCCAGUAGGACCCCUCGAUCGCAGGGGGAGCUGGGGGGGAGCAUAACCGGUGGCAGCUGGCACAAGCAGGCGCCCAGGGGCUGACGUUUCCCCUUUGUCCAGCAGGUGGUGCUGGCACCCAACGCAGCCCCCAGCCUCCAGCCUCCAACCCGACGCUCGUUCAGUGACAUGAGCUGUUAGGGUCUCAGCCCCGGUCCUACUGGUCAGAACCAGUCUGGGAUCCCGGCUCCCAUCCAGCACCAGGGCGGGGGACUGGCUGGCUCAGGGAGGUUCCUGCUUUCCCGGAAAUCCGCCCUGGCCAGACAUCUGUAAAUCGCUUCCAGAGCCCAGCUGUGCAGAGCAGUAGGGGUGGGCUGGGAGGGACCCUGAUCCCCCCGUCACUAGCCUCGUCUCGCCUCUAAUCUGUCCGCCCUGGCCCAGCCUGGGCGCUGAGUAACCGGCAUGAAUAAUACCGAACUCAUCUGCUGCUGGCACAGGGCUCGGCCUGGAGCUGGUGGCCCAGGGCAGGGAAGGGACAAACAGGGGAAUUUCUACACUGCAAACUUCAGGCCACCGCUCACUUAAGAGGUGCAGUGUAUGGGGCUGGGAGCCCGGGUUCUCCCCGGCGCUCCACUGCUUCCCGGCCUCCCUGCCGGGCCCCCUGGCCUCUGCACUGCGGGGCUCCCGGAAAGGGUGGGGAGCGGGGAGCCUGGGCGGUCGCCGGGAUCUAGCGGGAGCCCCACAGCCACCCGGGGAGGAAAACCCGAAUGGUGAGCUGGGCACCGGGUUCACCACAGGAGCCUACUAGCCUUUCUUGUCAGUUUCAGGGCCCCCCCAGCUGCGAAAUUGACAAGAAGGACAGCCACCCUCUGAUGUAAGGAAGGCAGGGUGACGGUGUCGCCCUAACCAGACCCACAUAAGCCCUGCGCCUCCGUGGAGCUGGGGUUGUUAAGUCAGGGUGGGGGGCGCUUACACCGGCAGCAGCCAGGCUGUAGCGUGGACAGUGACGGCGGUAGAUCGACGCACGCCGCUGGGCUGGGGUCUUAAAGGACCCGCUGCUAACUGGAAGGAGCAGGGAGCCUUUGGAGCAGGAUCAGCGCUGUUUAGUAGCGUGGGGCUGGAGCAGGCAGUUAGCUCGAGCACUGCCCCGGUGGUAGCCCCUUGAUCACCCCAUGUGCCAGUGGAGAGACUGGCUGUAAAAUUCACAAGCUGCGCACAGAGAUGCCAGCCAGGAUGCCACAGCGUGGCACUAGGGGGCACUCUGCUCUGGAGAGCGGGGUGGGAGGGCUCUCCCCUGGCAGUCAGGGCUGGCCCCAAUGCCCCAGGAUGGCACUAGGGGGCGCUGCGCUGAGGGAGCAGAGCCUGGGGCUCUCCCCUGGCAGUCAGGGCUGGCCCCGAUGCCCCAGGAUGGCACUAGGGGGCGCUGUGCUGCAGGGAGCAAGGUCAGACUCCUGUAUAGACAGCCCCUGCGCCCCACCCCAGACUUGGGUGCAACUCAGCACCGGGCCAGGGGUCCAUGUAUAAAGUGAAGGCUUAUCAAUAAUUAUCCAAAUUAAAACAAGGAAAGUUAAUGACAAGGGUCGAGAAGACAGGUUUUUCAAAAAAAUACAUUUUAUUUGCCACAGUUCAUAAAAUAAACCCAAUAAAAAUCUCUCCU